ensembl:lncRNA
CACACACAUACAUUCACAGACACACAUACACAUGAUAAGACACACACUACACACACGUAGAGGCACACAUACACAUGAUAAGACACACUCUACACACACAUACACAUGAAGUGAUCCUUAGUAAAUACAAAUACAGGGCGAGGAGAUUCUUCUGACUAUGCGAUCUAACUAGGAAUAACACCUUGCUUUCACAUCUGAAUCCCCAAGUUCCUUUGAGUUCGGCCUUGGGUCCUUUAGCUUGUUGGAGGAGAUCCUCACAGGGCAGGAGUGGGCCAGGUUUCUAAAUCCAUCACAAGUAGACACCUUAGCCAAUCAAACACCAGCUGAAGAGGUCACCAAUCAAUUAGAGGCCAGCCAGAGACGGCCACAAGAUCAUGAGAGCGGCCGAUCAACUAUGACCUUGGACAGAGUCAGACAAUCAGGAAAUGUGAACAGUCAGUGGGACUUCAGACAAAGUGAAUUGGACCUAAGUUAUGAUAGAAGCGCUGAUGUUUCUUCAUCUGUCAAUAUGAAUAUCACAGAACCAAGCCUUGUCCAAGAACAGAACAGUAAAUGUGAACUCAUCCAAUCGGCACCAAAGGAAUAUGGUCAUGUCCAAUCACAAACCAGUUCUGAUGAAGUGAGGCCAAAUCAUAUACCUGUGUUAGAGUUCUCGUUCAUUAAGCCAGUGGAGGUCUUGGAUAGCUCUGCCCUGAAGAGCAGGGUCCACAUGAACAGAAAAAGAGAGCACCGGUCACAGGAGAGGAAAGAAGAGAGAGAAUGUUUAAAAGGAGAGGGGGGAGAGAGAUUAGAAGACAACUCAGUCCCAUCUGAUGAGGAAGAGAGGGAAGAGGGGGACAACUUUAUGAUGCCUGUCUACCCCCUGAAAUCCUCCCUUUCCCCUCUCCCUCCAUCCUCCCCCUCUUCCACCUCACAUCCCCUUGUCACCCGAAGUAUACUGCAACACUCAGUGUUUCAAGAUUCAGAGUCCUCACUAUCAAUGGAAACAGUGACCAAAAAGAGGCGGAUGUCAAAAUCUCGUCACGUGCGGUUCUCUGAGGAGGUAGUUACCAUGCCGCCCAGCCUCCUGAUCCAGCAGUAUCCUGAUUCAGAGGAGGAUUGUGGAACAGAGGAGGACUCCACGCUAGAGGAGAAUGCAGUGAUGGAGGAAGUUCAAGUUGUGCCGAUGAUGCUACAGCCCGCUGCUGCUCUCCCCGCCUGGAUAUUAGCUCUGAGGAGGAAGACAAGGAAGAAACACAGGCACUGAACAAUAACAGGCUCAUCCUUGUCUACCCUUAUUUAACCAAGCAAUUACCUUGAGAAUCUCCUUUGCAAGAGAGACUUGGCAAGAUAGUAAAAAUACUUUGUAAUUACUUUUGCAUCUUUUUUUUCAUUCAACUCAAAUGUUUGAUACUGAGUUAUUAGUGCUUUCCAUGGGGAAGGGAAGAGGAAAGGAAACGAGAUUACUUCGAUCAUUCUACAAGCCAACACACAAAAACAAACUCAUGUCAUUACAUGAUCGCUAUGUUUACGUGUGAAAGUGUUCUAAGUCCAUUAGCAUGGAAUGUCAGGAGACAAUAGUUAUAACGGACCGUUUCUCUCUCUCUCUCCCUCGCUCCUCAUCAGUCCUUAUUAAUUAACAGUGGUGUAAGGCCAUUAAGAAGCUCUUUUGCUGAUCUAUUAGUGUUGUGAUGGGUCCUUGGUGAGAGGAGGAGUGCCCAGGUUGUGUGUGUGUGUAUGUGUCCGUGCAUAUUGGGUGUGUAAUGCAGAAAAACACAAUACAGCAGGCACGACUCAGUCAAGUCCGAUAAUUGUAUAAUUGCUGGUUACCUUUGCUUUCCACCAGGUUCCAAGAUCAAUAUAGGACCACGGCAUCUUUUCUCAUACCCCCCCAUUGUUAUAGUACAUCACAAAUGGAGCAAGACAGAGAUGGAGAAAGGGAUGAGGCCAGAUAACUGUAACAUAUGAACUACAGAGUAUGUACAAAGGUAAUGGGACCAGGGCAAAGCUUUUAUGUGGCGGCAGACUGUGGAACAGCUACAAUAUUGAGAGUAACAGUUUAUAAAGUUAUUUGUUUGUUUUUACUAAAGUGUUCAUCCCACUGUACAGAGAUAGUUUGCCCCCAAAGAUCGGAACACAUUUUAAAAACACAUUUUAAAAGUUAUUCAGAGAUUCAAUUGUUACGUCAUUCAGGGCAAGUGGGGCGGAGCCCCAUCUGUUUUGAGCCUCACAUUUUUAGCAAUAAAUAAUUAAACAUGUAUAUUUGUUUUAAAUUGGGGGGGCUUGCCAUUUUGCAUGUUAUUUUGGCAUUAAUAUGUGUCACAUAUUAGUUUGCAAACUAUGUAAAAAAAAUAUAUAUAAAUAUCAUUGCGUUAAUAAAG